GACGAACGCUGGCGGCGUGCUUAACACAUGCAAGUCGAACGGAAAGGCCCUGCUUUUGUGGGGUGCUCGAGUGGCGAACGGGUGAGUAACACGUGAGUAACCUGCCCUUGACUUUGGGAUAACUUCAGGAAACUGGGGCUAAUACCGGAUAGGAGCUCCUGCUGCAUGGUGGGGGUUGGAAAGUUUCGGCGGUUGGGGAUGGACUCGCGGCUUAUCAGCUUGUUGGUGGGGUAGUGGCUUACCAAGGCUUUGACGGGUAGCCGGCCUGAGAGGGUUACCGGCGACAUUGGGACUGAGAUACGGACCAGACUCCUACGGGAGGCAGCAGUGGGGAAUAUUGCACAAUGGGCGGAAGCCUGAGGCAGCAACGCCGCGUGCGGGAUGACGGCCUUCGGGUUGUAAACCGCUUUCGCCUGUGACGAAGCGUGAGUGACGGUAAUGGGUAAAGAAGCACCGGCUAACUACGUG
rnacentral:rRNA from 1 species